AGGGAAAUCCAAUCAAUUUAUUUCUAGGAUGGUAUUCAUGCUAGAAAAAGGCAAAUAGUUGGGUACACUCUGAUUAACAAAUUAAUGUAGAUCUUAAUUAAUAUACAUAUAUCACAAUAAUUAUUAGACUAUAUAUACAUAUAUAUAUCUUUUGUUUUUAUCCAAUCAGAAAAAAAAUUCAGUGAGAAAGCAAUCUUUCUAUAAUUUCCUUAAUAACCAAAAGAAUUAUUUAUAAUAUCUAUGAUCACUUUCAUUUGAGGUCUAUCAAAGCAUUCUGCAAAGAUUUUCCA
rnacentral:lncRNA from 1 species